UAGUAGAUGCACCCUGAUAAUUUUCUACCCCAGCCAGCAAUGGUAGGGGUUUUUUGU
rnacentral:sRNA from 1 species